rnacentral:rRNA from 1 species
UAGUAGGAAGACCGAUAGCGAACAAGUAGCGUGACGAAGUUUGAAAAGCACUUUGGAAAGAGAGUGACAUGAACCUAAAGUCGUGACAACGACAAUGGACGUACCUCCAUUUCAUCGGCCAAAACCGACCUCCAAGCAUUAUCCUCUAUGACUUUAGCGCAAUGGGGGCAACAAGUGCAGAAGCAGAGGUUCCGGUCCAGCGAGCAGGAGUAAAGUUGGGAGCACAGUUACUGCGAGCCCCUUCUUUCUUGUGAGCUCCAUUUUUGGCGCUGGAGAUGGGGUGCCUCCACCCGUCUUGAAACACGGACAAAGGAGUCAAACAGACGCGCAAGGGAGAAGAUAUGUUUUCGAGUACUUCUCUCGUACUGAAAGGGAGCCAGCAAUGGGUAUGGUGUGCACAAUUUACUUGCUCAACACCGACCGGCCGUACGCGGGUUGAGUUCGAGUGUGCCUGUUUGGACCCGAAGGUGGUGAACUAUGCCUGAACAAGGUGAAGCCCGGGGAAACCCAGGUGGAGGCCUGUAGCGAUGCUGACGUGCAAAUCCUCGCAUGAUUUGGGUAUCGGAGCGAAAGACUCAUCGAACCACCUAGUAGCUGGUUCACAUCGAAGUUUCCCUCAGGAUGCUGGUGCUUAACUUUUUAUAGUAUUGUGCGGUAAAGCAAAUGAUAGAGGCAUUGGUGUUCUUGUGAUAUCGACCUAUUUCAAACUUUAAAUGUGCAAAACAACCCGCCUUUGCCUAGUCGGAAGGCGGGAAAGAAAAGAAUUAAGGCACCAAGUGCGCUUCUUCGGUAAAGCGGAGCAGGCGAUGCGGAAUGAACCGCUUAGAGAUAUGUGGCGUCAAAACUUAUUUGGCUCAUUCCGAUACGUGAAAAGGGUGUUGGUGGAUAUGGACAGUUGGACGGUGGCCAAGGAAGUCGGCAUCCGCUAAGGAGUGUGUACAACUCACCAACCGAAUCCACCGGUACCGGUG